UGAGAUCAGAUGACUACUUCAUUGCCGGAAGAGCUAUUGCUGUGAGCCUUGUACAUGGUGGACCACCUCCCCGAUUUCUGGCAACUGAAUUAUAUGAUGCACUAGUGAGAGGACCAGAAAAUGUGACCUGUGAUUUCCAGAAAAUUCCAGAUGAAGAUUUAAAGUCAAAACUGGAGAAAAUUGCUGAUGCGCAGAGUUUAGAAGCAGCAGUGGAUGUAGUCUUGAUGUCACAGGAUUUCCUCAGUUUAGCAGGGUGUUUGCGUCAUGUGACUUCUCUAGAAGGUCAUAAACAGCUUGUGAAAGAAGCUACAAACUGGUAUUUCUUUGGGUGAACAAGCAGUGCAUUUGAAAGGUUCAAGUUGGGUCUCUCUACCCUGGAUGUGUUAGAUGCAAUCCGGAAGUUUCCUCAAGCAUUUCAACCUGCCUUCUGCCACACAGAGACCAAACUUACCUCUCAAGAAAUUGAUCAGAUGUUCUCUAUCGUUCUGGAGAGUCAGGGAAGCAACAAAAGGCAGACGCAGUCAAAAGUCACAGGAUGGUGGCGAGAUUAUCUGAUAGAUGCACAGGGAAGAGGAAACCGGAGUUUCACUUGGAGAAAUUCUAGCUUUUGCCACAGGCACUUAUCCUCCAGCUCUAGGAUGGGAAACUAAGCCAUCCAUUGAAUUUAUUUACAGCAGCGACCUUUUCCCAACUGCAAACACAUGUGCUAAUGUUUUGCGUUUACCAACAGUUCACAAGGAAUAUGAGGACUUUAAAGAGAACAUGGACUUUGCCAUUCAGAAUUCUCCAGGGUUUGGGCAGGCAUAAA